rnacentral:rRNA from 1 species
CAACGACUCUCGGUAACGGAUAUCUCGGCUCUCUCAUCUUUGAAGAACUUAACGAAAUGCGAUACUUGGUGUGAAUUGCAGGAUUCCGCGAACCACCGAUUCUUUGAACGCAAGUUGCGCCCGGAGCCUUCUGGCCGAGGGCACGUCUGCCUGGGCGUCACG